GGUUAAGCGACUAAGCGUACACGGUGGAUGCCCUGGCAGUCAGAGGCGAUGAAGGACGUGCUAAUCUGCGAUAAGCGUCGGUAAGGUGAUAUGAACCGUUAUAACCGGCGAUUUCCGAAUGGGGAAACCCAGUGUGUUUCGACACACUAUCAUUAACUGAAUCCAUAGGUUAAUGAGGCGAACCGGGGAACUGAAACAUCUAAGUACCCCGAGGAAAAGAAAUCAACCGAGAUUCCCCCAGUAGCGGCGAGCGAACGGGGAGCAGCCCAGAGCCUGAAUCAGUGUGUGUGUUAGUGGAAGCGUCUGGAAAGGCGCGCGAUACAGGGUGACAGCCCCGUACACAAAAAUGCACAUGCUGUGAGCUCGAUGAGUAGGGCGGGACACGUGGUAUCCUGUCUGAAUAUGGGGGACCAUCCUCCAAGGCUAAAUACUCCUGACUGACCGAUAGUGAACCAGUACCGUGAGGGAAAGGCGAAAAGAACCCCGGCGAGGGGAGUGAAAAAGAACCUGAAACCGUGUACGUACAAGCAGUGGGAGCACGCUUAGGCGUGUGACUGCGUACCUUUUGUAUAAUGGGUCAGCGACUUAUAUUCUGUAGCAAGGUUAACCGAAUAGGGGAGCCGAAGGGAAACCGAGUCUUAACUGGGCGUUAAGUUGCAGGGUAUAGACCCGAAACCCGGUGAUCUAGCCAUGGGCAGGUUGAAGGUUGGGUAACACUAACUGGAGGACCGAACCGACUAAUGUUGAAAAAUUAGCGGAUGACUUGUGGCUGGGGGUGAAAGGCCAAUCAAACCGGGAGAUAGCUGGUUCUCCCCGAAAGCUAUUUAGGUAGCGCCUCGUGAAUUCAUCUCCGGGGUAGAGCACUGUUUCGGCAAGGGGUCAUCCCGACUUACCAACCCGAUGCAAACUGCGAAUACCGGAGAAUGUUAUCACGGGAGACACACGGCGGGUGCUAACGUCCGUCGUGAAGAGGGAAACAACCCAGACCGCCAGCUAAGGUCCCAAAGUCAUGGUUAAGUGGGAAACGAUGUGGGAAGGCCCAGACAGCCAGGAUGUUGGCUUAGAAGCAGCCAUCAUUUAAAGAAAGCGUAAUAGCUCACUGGUCGAGUCGGCCUGCGCGGAAGAUGUAACGGGGCUAAACCAUGCACCGAAGCUGCGGCAGCGACGCUUAUGCGUUGUUGGGUAGGGGAGCGUUCUGUAAGCCUGCGAAGGUGUGCUGUGAGGCAUGCUGGAGGUAUCAGAAGUGCGAAUGCUGACAUAAGUAACGAUAAAGCGGGUGAAAAGCCCGCUCGCCGGAAGACCAAGGGUUCCUGUCCAACGUUAAUCGGGGCAGGGUGAGUCGACCCCUAAGGCGAGGCCGAAAGGCGUAGUCGAUGGGAAACAGGUUAAUAUUCCUGUACUUGGUGUUACUGCGAAGGGGGACGGAGAAGGCUAUGUUGGCCGGGCGACGGUUGUCCCGGUUUAAGCGUGUAGGCUGGUUUUCCAGGCAAAUCCGGAAAAUCAAGGCUGAGGCGUGAUGACGAGGCACUACGGUGCUGAAGCAACAAAUGCCCUGCUUCCAGGAAAAGCCUCUAAGCAUCAGGUAACAUCAAAUCGUACCCCAAACCGACACAGGUGGUCAGGUAGAGAAUACCAAGGCGCUUGAGAGAACUCGGGUGAAGGAACUAGGCAAAAUGGUGCCGUAACUUCGGGAGAAGGCACGCUGAUAUGUAGGUGAAGCGACUUGCUCGUGGAGCUGAAAUCAGUCGAAGAUACCAGCUGGCUGCAACUGUUUAUUAAAAACACAGCACUGUGCAAACACGAAAGUGGACGUAUACGGUGUGACGCCUGCCCGGUGCCGGAAGGUUAAUUGAUGGGGUUAGCGCAAGCGAAGCUCUUGAUCGAAGCCCCGGUAAACGGCGGCCGUAACUAUAACGGUCCUAAGGUAGCGAAAUUCCUUGUCGGGUAAGUUCCGACCUGCACGAAUGGCGUAAUGAUGGCCAGGCUGUCUCCACCCGAGACUCAGUGAAAUUGAACUCGCUGUGAAGAUGCAGUGUACCCGCGGCAAGACGGAAAGACCCCGUGAACCUUUACUAUAGCUUGACACUGAACAUUGAGCCUUGAUGUGUAGGAUAGGUGGGAGGCUUAGAAGUGUGGACGCCAGUCUGCAUGGAGCCGACCUUGAAAUACCACCCUUUAAUGUUUGAUGUUCUAACGUUGACCCGUAAUCCGGGUUGCGGACAGUGUCUGGUGGGUAGUUUGACUGGGGCGGUCUCCUCCUAAAGAGUAACGGAGGAGCACGAAGGUUGGCUAAUCCUGGUCGGACAUCAGGAGGUUAGUGCAAUGGCAUAAGCCAGCUUGACUGCGAGCGUGACGGCGCGAGCAGGUGCGAAAGCAGGUCAUAGUGAUCCGGUGGUUCUGAAUGGAAGGGCCAUCGCUCAACGGAUAAAAGGUACUCCGGGGAUAACAGGCUGAUACCGCCCAAGAGUUCAUAUCGACGGCGGUGUUUGGCACCUCGAUGUCGGCUCAUCACAUCCUGGGGCUGAAGUAGGUCCCAAGGGUAUGGCUGUUCGCCAUUUAAAGUGGUACGCGAGCUGGGUUUAGAACGUCGUGAGACAGUUCGGUCCCUAUCUGCCGUGGGCGCUGGAGAACUGAGGGGGCUGCUCCUAGUACGAGAGGACCGGAGUGGACGCAUCACUGGUGUUCGGGUUGUCAUGCCAAUGGCACUGCCCGGUAGCUAAAUGCGGAAGAGAUAAGUGCUGAAAGCAUCUAAGCACGAAACUUGCCCCGAGAUGAGUUCUCCCUGACCCUUUAAGGGUCCUGAAGGAACGUUGAAGACGACGACGUUGAUAGGCCGGGUGUGUAAGCGCAGCGAUGCGUUGAGCUAACCGGUACUAAUGAACCGUGAGGCUUAACCUU
rnacentral:rRNA from 1 species